UGGGGAAUUUUGGACAAUGGGCGAAAGCCUGAUCCAGCCAUGCCGCGUGAGUGAAGAAGGCCUUCGGGUUGUAAAGCUCUUUUAGUCGGAAAGAAAGAGUUGCGAUGAAUAAUUGUGAUUUAUGACGGUACCGACAGAAAAAGCACCGGCUAACUCUGUGCCAGCAGCCGCGGUAAUACAGAGGGUGCAAGCGUUAAUCGGAAUUACUGGGCGUAAGGGCGCGUAGGUGGUUAAUUAAGUCAGAUGUGAAAUCCCCGGGCUUAACCUGGGAAUUGCAUGUGAAACUGAUUGGCUAGAGUACGGGAGAGGGAAGUGGAAUUUCCGGUGUAGCGGUGAAAUGCGUAGAUCUCGGAAGGAACACCAGUGGCGAAGGCGACUUCCUGGCCCGUUACUGACACUGAGGCGCGAAAGCGUGGGGAGCGAA
rnacentral:rRNA from 1 species